rnacentral:rRNA from 1 species
CCUACGGGUGGCAGCAGUGAGGAAUAUUGGUCAAUGGCCGAGAGCCUGAACCAGCCAAGUCGCGUGCGGGAAGAAUGUCCUAUGGAUUGUAAACCUCUUUUGUCAGGGAGCAAAGUCACCCACGUGUGGGUGUUUGAGAGUACCUUAAGAAAAAGCAUCGGCUAACUCCGUGCCAGCAGCCGCGGUAAUACGGAGGAUGCGAGCGUUAUCCGGAUUUAUUGGGUUUAAAGGGUGCGUAGGCGGGUUAUCAAGUCAGCGGGAAAAUGGUGGGGCUCAACUCCAUCUAGCAGUUGCAACUGAUGAUCUUGAGUGGGCGAGAAGUAUGCGGAAUGCGUGGUGUAGCGGUGAAAUGCAUAGAUAUGACGAAGAACUCCGAUUGCGAAGGCAGCAUACCGGCGCCGGACUGACGCUGAGGCACGAAAGCGUGGGUAUCGAACAGGAUUAGAUACCCGUGUAGUC